rnacentral:rRNA from 1 species
UAACGGAGGGAGCUAGCGUUUGUUCGGAAUUACUGGGCGUAAAGCGCGCGUAGGCGGUUUUUUUAAGUCAGAGGUGAAAGCCCAGUGCUCAACACUGGAACUGCCUUUUGAAAACUGGAAAAACUUGAAUCUUGGAGAGGUCAGUGGAAUUCCGAGUGUAGAGGUGAAAUUCGUAGAUAUUCGGAAGAACACCAGUGGCGAAGGCGACUGACUGGACAAGUAUUGACGCUGAGGUGCGAAAGCGUGGGGAGCAAACAGG